AAGCAGAUGAAGGCCUGAAUUGUCUACUGAGUUUUCAGUGACUUCCUCAAACUUCUCACUUACCUUUCAGUGCUGGCAUCGUCCAGGUCAUAGGAGAAAGUAGUAGGGGUGACUCAAAUAUUUAGUAUUUGCACAGUAAAAAUGUCCAGCUAUGCCAGGUGGAGUGGCUCACACCUAUAAUCCCAGUGCUUUGGGAGGCUGAGCAGGAGGAUUGCAUGAGGCCAAGAGUAUGAGACCAGCCUGGGCAACAUAGUGAGACUCUGUGUCUACAAAAAGUUUUUUUUUUUUAAAUUAGCUGGGCAUGGUGGCAUGUGUCUGUAGUUCUAGCUACUUGGGAGGCUGAGGUGGGAGGAUCAUUUGAGCCCAGGAGUUUGUGGCUGCAGUGAACUAUGGUUGCACCAUUGCACCCCAGCCUGGGCGAUAGAGGGAGACCCUGCUUGUAAAAAGUAAGCCAAGCUCUUUACUGGCUGAAAUUGCAUGGAGUAAGGGAGGGAGUCGAAAUUCUGGGGCAGAGAACUACCUUUUGUUGUUCAUAUGUGUUUGUCUUUAAUAAUGUUCCCCAGUAUCUUAUGUUAAUGAGGAACAUUAAUGCUUUGAUAUCGUUUCAUGGUGCCACUUCAGGGAAUCACUCUUGCUUAAUCUAAGGAGGAUGGAGCUGUACCGAGCUAAAAGUCUGAAUUUGGAGAUGAUAGUGGUGACCUUAUAGGCAAUAUCAGGUUUCUUCCUUACAGUUAACAUCUCUGAAAGGUACGGAUACAAGUUAU
rnacentral:lncRNA from 1 species